UCCGGUUUGUCACCCUGUCCCCCCCGAAGGGGGAACGCCCGAUCUCUCGGGUUGUCAGGGGAUGUCAAGACCUGGUAAGGUUCUUCGCGUUGCGUCGAAUUAAACCACAUGCUCCACCGCUUGUGCAGGCCCCCGUCAAUUCCUUUGAGUUUCGGUCUUGCGACCGUACUCCCCAGGCGGAGUGUUUCACGCGUUAGCUGGGCCCCUGAUCCACGUAGACCAAGGGCGAACACUCAUCGUUUACGGCAUGGACUAC
rnacentral:misc_RNA from 1 species